AUAAAUUAUAUAAAAAGUCGAUUUUACGGAAUGAUUUUUUUGCGGUCGCGACGUCGUUCAUAUGGUAACCGCGACGUCACUGUUGUAAGACAAUCAGGGGUUUACUGAAGCAGCCACUUUUGCACGAAAAUAUAUCGAAAAUUCAGAUUUCAGGUCGGAUUAAUCAGAAGGUGUAUUGACAACUCCGUGUACGAAAUAUGGGAAAUACAAGACAAAACGCCAGACGACUUGGCACAGUGAGACGACGACUUAGACGAGUAACAUGGAAGCUGGUCGGUGCAUCCGUUUAUUACGGGUUGAUGCUUACCUUGGGAAUGUACAAAGCAAAGUGGCUGUUAUGUUGGCUGUGUAGAACCUACCUUACGACCAUCAAUGCAUCGGAAUUUUUAAUCUUGUUUGGACUCUUUUCAUUCCUUUUUAUGUUGCUGAACUGUCUCGUGGUAAAACUAUCAACAGUGCUGAUGUACCCGAAAUAUUACUUCCGGAAAUCGCGAUCCAUUCUCUAUCCAAAUUACAGGGAUCCAAAAUACACCCGAUCUGGCUUAAUCUAUGGUUAUAUGUAAUUUAUUCUACCUUUUAUUCAAUUAAAUAGUUACAUUUUCAAUAAAAUUAAAAAAAGUCAUAA